UACGGAGGAUGCGAGCGUUAUCCGGAUUUAUUGGGUUUAAAGGGUGCGUAGGCGGACGCUUAAGUCAGCGGUAAGAUUGCGGGGCUCAACCUCGUCGAGCCGUUGAAACUGGGUGCCUUGAGUGGGCGAGAAGUACGCGGAAUGCGUGGUGUAGCGGUGAAAUGCAUAGAUAUCACGCAGAACUCCGAUUGCGAAGGCAGCGUACCGGCGCCCAACUGACGCUGAAGCACGAAGGCGUGGGUAUCGAACAGG
rnacentral:rRNA from 1 species